rnacentral:rRNA from 1 species
AGGGCGCAAGCGUUGUCCGGAAUUAUUGGGCGUAAAGAGCUCGUAGGCGGCUUGUCGCGUCGAUUGUGAAAGCCCGGGGCUUAACUCCGGGUCUGCAGUCGAUACGGGCAGGCUAGAGUGUGGUAGGGGAGAUCGGAAUUCCUGGUGUAGCGGUGAAAUGCGCAGAUAUCAGGAGGAACACCGGUGGCGAANGCGGAUCUCUGGGCCAUUACUGACGCUGAGGAGCGAAAGCGUGGGGAGCGAACAGGAUUAGAUACCCUGGUAGUCCACGCCGUAAACGGUGGGCACUAGGUGUUGGCGACAUUCCACGUCGUCGGUGCCGCAGCUAACGCAUUAAGUGCCCCGCCUGGGGAGUACGGCCGCAANGCUAAAACUCAAAGGAAUUGACGGGGGCCCGCACAAGCGGCGGAACAUGUNGCUUAAUUCGACGCAACGCGAANAACUUACCAAGGCUUGACAUACACCGGAAACAUCCAGAGAUGGGUGCCCCCUUGUGGUCGGUGUACAGUNGUGCAUGCUGUCGUCAGCUCGUGUUGUUGAGAUUUUGGGUUAAUCCCCGCAACGA